AUUGAACGCUGGCGGCAGGCCUAACACAUUCAAGUCGAGCGAGCGGCGGACGGGUGAGUAAUGUCUGGGAAACUGCCUGAUGGAGGGGGAUAACUACUGGAAACGGUAGCUAAUACCGCAUACCAUCAGAUGUGCCCAGAUGGUAUUAGCUAGGAGGGGGGGUAACGGCUCACCUAGGCGACGAACCCUAGCUGGUCUGAGAGGAUGACCAGCCAAAAUGGAACUAAGACACGGUCCAGAAUCCUACGGGAGGCAGCAGUGGGGAAUAUUGCACAAUGGGCGCAAGCCUAGUGCAGCCAUGCCGCGUGUGUGACGAAGGCAUUCGGGUUGUAAAGCACUUUCAGCUGUGAGGCGUUACCCGCAGAAGAAGCACCGGCUAACUCCGUGCCAGCAGCGGCGGUAAUAC
rnacentral:rRNA from 1 species